rnacentral:lncRNA from 1 species
UUUCUACAGUGACCGCAGAGCUCCAUGGAAAGGAAAUGAGAACAACCUUUUAAGGGUCCUGUUAUGGAGAAAGGCAGGAUAAAAAUAUUUUAAACCAAUGAAGAAUAAAUAAAAUCCUUGCACAGUGUAAAAAAUAAAUUUUAGAAGCUUAUGCUCAGAAGGAAUUGGGCCAGAUCAUGAACUACGUAUGCAAGGUGAAUCCUUGGUCAUCUCUGACUGCUGGUGAGAAUGUAUGAUUUUACACCAAGCUCAGGAACAGUACCACAUCUUUCGGCAGCUGUCAGCUCACAUGCAAAAGGCUCAGAAAGCAGUGCCUGAAGGAAUAUAGACCUACAAGUAGUUGGUUUUCUGAACCUUAAGAAAGAGAAAAGGAUCAUUCAUGGGAAAAGGUGGAAGGUCUUGUUUACACAAACAGAUGAUAAAUGUGUAAAAAUAAAUGACCCUGUAAGAAUGCA